rnacentral:rRNA from 1 species
AGAGUUUGAUCCUGGCUCAGAUUGAACGCUGGCGGCAGGCCUAACACAUGCAAGUCGAGCGGUAGCACAGAGAGCUUGCUCUCGGGUGACGAGCGGCGGACGGGUGAGUAAUGUCUGGGAAACUGCCUGAUGGAGGGGGAUAACUACUGGAAACGGUAGCUAAUACCGCAUAAUGUCGCAAGACCAAAGUGGGGGACCUUCGGGCCUCAUGCCAUCAGAUGUGCCCAGAUGGGAUUAGCUAGUAGGUGGGGUAACGGCUCACCUAGGCGACGAUCCCUAGCUGGUCUGAGAGGAUGACCAGCCACACUGGAACUGAGACACGGUCCAGACUCCUACGGGAGGCAGCAGUGGGGAAUAUUGCACAAUGGGCGCAAGCCUGAUGCAGCCAUGCCGCGUGUGUGAAGAAGGCCUUCGGGUUGUAAAGCACUUUCAGCGGGGAGGAAGGCGGUGAGGUUAAUAACCUCAUCGAUUGACGUUACCCGCAGAAGAAGCACCGGCUAACUCCGUGCCAGCAGCCGCGGUAAUACGGAGGGUGCAAGCGUUAAUCGGAAUUACUGGGCGUAAAGCGCACGCAGGCGGUCUGUCAAGUCGGAUGUGAAAUCCCCGGGCUCAACCUGGGAACUGCAUUCGAAACUGGCAGGCUAGAGUCUUGUAGAGGGGGGUAGAAUUCCAGGUGUAGCGGUGAAAUGCGUAGAGAUCUGGAGGAAUACCGGUGGCGAAGGCGGCCCCCUGGACAAAGACUGACGCUCAGGUGCGAAAGCGUGGGGAGCAAACAGGAUUAGAUACCCUGGUAGUCCACGCCGUAAACGAUGUCGAUUUGGAGGUUGUGCCCUUGAGGCGUGGCUUCCGGAGCUAACGCGUUAAAUCGACCGCCUGGGGAGUACGGCCGCAAGGUUAAAACUCAAAUGAAUUGACGGGGGCCCGCACAUGCGGUGGAGCAUGUGGUUUAAUUCGAUGCAACGCGAAGAACCUUACCUGGUCUUGACAUCCACAGAACUUUCCAGAGAUGGAUUGGUGCCUUCGGGAACUGUGAGACAGGUGCUGCAUGGCUGUCGUCAGCUCGUGUUGUGAAAUGUUGGGUUAAGUCCCGCAACGAGCGCAACCCUUAUCCUUUGUUGCCAGCGGUUCGGCCGGGAACUCAAAGGAGACUGCCAGUGAUAAACUGGAGGAAGGUGGGGAUGACGUCAAGUCAUCAUGGCCCUUACGACCAGGGCUACACACGUGCUACAAUGGCAUAUACAAAGAGAAGCGACCUCGCGAGAGCAAGCGGACCUCAUAAAGUAUGUCGUAGUCCGGAUUGGAGUCUGCAACUCGACUCCAUGAAGUCGGAAUCGCUAGUAAUCGUAGAUCAGAAUGCUACGGUGAAUACGUUCCCGGGCCUUGCACACACCGCCCGUCA